rnacentral:lncRNA from 1 species
AAUACUCCUAUUCUCAAAUACCCUUUAAUCUCAAAUACUCCUAUUCUCAAAUACCCAUAUUCUCAAAUACCUCUUUAAUCUCAAAUACCCAUAUUCUCAAAUACCCCUUUAAUCUCAAAUACCCCUAAUCUCAAAUGCCCCUUAAUCUCAAAUACUCAUUAAUCUCAAAUACCCCUAAUCUCAAUUACCCUUUAAUCUAAAAUACUAUUCAAUCUCAAAUGCCCCUUAAUCUAAAAUACCCUUUAUAUGCUCUUAAUCUCAAAUA